rnacentral:rRNA from 1 species
UACGGGGGGGGCAAGCGUUGUUCGGAAUUACUGGGCGUAAAGGGUUUGUAGGUGGCCCGCUAAGUCACACGUGAAAUCCCUCAGCUUAACUGGGGAACUGCGUGUGAGACUGGCAGGCUCGAGGGCAGGAGAGGAACGCGGAAUUCCAGGUGUAGCGGUGAAAUGCGUAGAUAUCGAGAGGAACACCUGCGGCGAAGGCGGGUUGCUGGGCCGACACUGACGCUGAUGCGCGAAAGCCAGGGGAGCGAACGGG